rnacentral:rRNA from 1 species
AUACGGAGGAUCCGAGCGUUAUCCGGAUUUAUUGGGUUUAAAGGGUGCGCAGGCGGCCAUUUAAGUCAGCGGUUAAAUCGUGGGGCUCAACCCCAUUCUGCCGUUGAUACUGGGUGGCUUGAUUGCGGUCGAGGUUGGCGGAAUUCGUUGUGUAGCGGUGAAAUGCAUAGAUAUGACGAAGAACACCGAUUGCGUAGGCAGCUGACCAGAUCGCAAAUGACGCUCAUGCACGAAAGUGCGGGGAUCGAACAGGAUUAGAUACCCUGGUAGUCCGCACAGUAAACGAUGAAUACUUGUUUUCGGCGAUAUAAUGUCGGAGGCAAAGCGAAAGCGAUAAGUAUUCCACCUGGGGAGUACGCCGGCAACGGUGAAACUCAAAGGAAUUGGCGGGG